UAUUUAACUCGUUUUAUCUCGGUUUUCGAUUAUUCGGCGGCCGCUUACGCCCCUAAUUCCUCCGUUGGCUCCUCGUAUUUUCCUCAACGAUAUCAAAAUAAAAUCCCCCAAAAAAAAAUAUAAAGGUGUGUAAUUAAAAUAACGCAACCACUUUCCCUCGUAUUAUAUUUAUUUCGGACUUAUGUUAUAAUUAUUCAUUCGUUGAAAUAUUCUGGAAUUAAUUAAAUAAUUCCCCACAAUUAAUUUAAUUAUUACUCAAAGAUUUAAUUAGUUAUUGGCCCAAGGAUUUAAUUAAAAGCUCAUGUCUUAAUUAUUUUCUCCACCUUAUACCUUCAAUUACAAAUUAAAGCCCAAAGAUUUAAAUGGAUCUCAUAGAUUUAAUACAUCCUCCCAUUAACUUAUGAGACCCAAAUCUAAAAACAAGAGCCCAAUUUUAUUAAAUCAAGGCCCAAAGCAAAAUGGCCCAAAAUAAAAAAAACUCUUCCCCCUCCCAGCAACCCGUCUGCCUCUCUCUUUACUCUCCUUCUUCUUUCCAAUUUUCCCCCAAAUGAAACACAAAUCAAGUGAUUCCCCUGCUCCCUCCAUCUCGGUUCUCUCUCUUCUCUCUCCCUCUUCUUCUUUCACUCUCGACCAAAUCGGAAGGAACCCCCCCAUCCAUUCGUCGCCUGCUCCGAUUCACCCUCGCCGCAGCUCCGUCAUCGCCGCUGCUGCUCAGCCAGGGGAUGCCGCUGCUGUCGCUGCCCGCCGUGAGAAGCUGCGACGCCAGCCCCGGCUUCGCCUCCACCGUCGUCGCUGCUCCAGCCGCCCCAGCUCGCCGCCGCUGUUGUCGGCUGUUACCGUGCCUGCUCCGGCAGCCUCCGAAACUACACCGCGCAGCCCCGAAACAGACCCGACGCCUCCGACACCGACUCUCCCCGCAAGUUAAGUUCUCAGAUUUGAUUCCAGUUCUUUAAAAGUUCGAUCUUUUAUUCCGUUUUCUUUGUUUAAUCGCUUAAGAGGUAAAUUACAGAUUGAUAGGUGGUAGUGUUUGAUGUAAGAAUGCAGCAGUUUCAAAACGUAUUUGGUUGGAGGGGGUGUAUACCUCAACAAUCUGAGACGGAUUGGUAAUGGAGACUAGCAGUGGAUUGGAAAGAGCGUGUGGCUUGAAUCUCUUUCUCGGUCCUGUUCAAGAAGUUCAAUGAGUUUGACGAUUUGAUUUAGAAGUAAAAACGUGUACGGAGAUGGAGAUUGCCAAAUUACCUUGAACUGAAAUUUGAAGAGAAGUUCUUGUUUUGCUGCAGAGAUGGGAAUGAGGAAACGAAGAGUGCAGUCUGUAUUAUAGAGGAGUAAGAGAUUUGGUUGAGAGGUUGGAGAGAUUUGGGGAGAGAUUCAUGAGGGAGAGACGGUUGUUGAGGGGGGUUCAAAUUCUUUUCUCUUUUUUUUUUUACUUACUUUGCAUUUAUCUGGUAUUUAUUUGCAGAUUACGGAGGAGGAAUAUCUUUUCACGGAGGAGGAAGAUAUCAGCAGGAUCUUUAUUUAAAUUUGUUUAAUUCGCGGUCCAUUGUAUUUUAUUUUAAAUUGUGCAGUCCGCAAUUUAUUUAUCACGGACUAGAUUUUCAUAAUAUUUAUUUUAUUUAUUGGAUCCAACACGGAAUUGAGUCCAAUAAAUAUUCCUCACGAACAGGAAUUAAUUAAAUUUGCGCAGUCAUUGUUUCACA